rnacentral:rRNA from 1 species
CCUACGGGGGGCAGCAGUGGGGAUAUUGCACAAUGGGGGGAACCCUUAUGCAGCGACGCCGCGUGGGUGAAGAAGCGCCCCGGCGCGUAAAGCCCUGUCAGCCGGGAAGAAAAAGACGGUUCCUGAAGAAGAAGCCCCCGCCAACUACGUGCCAGCACCCGCUGGCAUACGGAGGGGGCAAGCGUUAUCCGGAUUUACUGGGGGUAAAGGGGGCGCAGACGGCGAUGCAAGCCAGGAGUGAAAGCCCGGGGCCCAACCCCGGGACUGCUCUUGGAACUGCGGGGCUGGAGUGCAGGAGGGGCAGGCGGAAUUCCUGGUGUAGCGGUGAAAUGCGUAGAUAUCAGGAGGAACACCGGUGGCGAAGGCGGCCUGCUGGACUGCAACUGACGUUGAGGCCCGAAAGCGUGGGGAGCAAACAGGAUUAGAUACCCCAGUAGUC